ensembl:snRNA U6 U6 spliceosomal RNA
UUACAUUUGCACCAACCUGAUAAAACUGGAACAAUACAGAGAAGAUUAGCAUGGCCCCUGCACAAGAAUGACAUGCAUAUUCAGAAAGCAUUUCAUAUUUUU